rnacentral:rRNA from 1 species
GUAAUACGUAGGUGGCAAGCGUGUCCGGAUUUAUGGGCGUAAAGCGAGCGCAGGCGGUUUUUUAGGUCUGAUGUGAAAGCCUUCGGCUUAACCGGAGAAGUGCAUCGGAAACCGGGAGACUUGAGUGCAGAAGAGGACAGUGGAACUCCAUGUGUAGCGGUGAAAUGCGUAGAUAUAUGGAAGAACACCAGUGGCGAAGGCGGCUGUCUGGUCUGUAACUGACGCUGAGGCUCGAAAGCAUGGGUAGCGAACAGGAUUAGAUACCCUGGUAGUCCAUGCCGUAAACGAUGAGUGCUAAGUGUUGGAGGGUUUCCGCCCUUCAGUGCUGCAGCUAACGCAUUAAGCACUCCGCCUGGGGAGUACGACCGCAAGGUUGAAACUCAAAGGAAUUGACGGGGGCCCGCACAAGCGGUGGAGCAUGUGGUUUAAUUCGAUGCUACGCGAAGAACCUUACCAGGUCUUGACAUCUUCUGCCAACUUAAGAGAUUAGGCGUUCCCUUCGGGGACAGAAUGACAGGUGGUGCAUGGUUGUCGUCAGCUCGUGUCGUGAGAUGUUGGGUUAAGUCCCGCAACGAGCGCAACCCUUAUUGUUAGUUGCCAGCAUUCAGUUGGGCACUCUAGCAAGACUGCCGGUGACAAACCGGAGGAAGGUGGGGAUGACGUCAAAUCAUCAUGCCCCUUAUGACCUGGGCUACACACGUGCUACAAUGGACGGUACAACGAGUCGCGAAACCGCGAGGUCAAGCUAAUCUCUUAAAGCCGUUCUCAGUUCGGAUUGUAGGCUGCAACUCGCCUACAUGAAGUUGGAAUCGCUAGUAAUCGUGGAUCAGCAUGCCACGGUGAAUACGUUCCCGGGCCUUGUACACACCGCCCGUCACACCAUGAGAGUUUGUAACACCCAAAGCCGGUGAGGUAACCUUCGGGGACCAGCCGUCUAAGGUGGGGCAGAUGAUUAGGGUGAAGUCGUAACAAGGUAGCCGUAGGAGAACCUGCGGCUGGAUCACCUCCUUUCUAA